rnacentral:rRNA from 1 species
AGAGUUUGAUCAUGGCUCAGAAUCAACGCUGGCGGCGUGCCUCAGACAUGCAAGUCGAACGCGAAAGACGCCUUCGGGUGUUAAGUAGAGUGGCGCACGGGUGAGUAACACGUAGGUAAUCUACCUUCGGGUGGGGAAUAACCCAGGGAAACUUGGGCUAACACCGCAUAAUGCAGCGGCACCACAUGGUGACAGUUGUUAAAGCGGGGGAUUUUCGGACCUCGCGCCUGAAGAGGAGCCUGCGGCAGAUUAGCUAGUUGGUAGGGUAACGGCUUACCAAGGCGACGAUCUGUAGCCGGCCUGAGAGGGCGGUCGGCCACACUGACACUGACAUACGGGUCAGACUCCUACGGGAGGCAGCAGUCGGGAAUUUUGGGCAAUGGGCGAAAGCCUGACCCAGCAACGCCGCGUGAAGGAUGAAAUCCCUCGGGAUGUAAACUUCGCAAGAAUGGGAAGAAUUAGCGAGCGCUAACACCGUUCGUGAUGACGGUACCAUUUGUAAGCUCCGGCUAACUCCGUGCCAGCAGCCGCGGUAAUACGGGGGGAGCAAGCGUUGUUCGGAUUUACUGGGCGUAAAGGGCGCGUAGGCGGCCAGCGCAAGUCAGUUGUGAAAUCUCCGGGCUUAACUCGGAAAGGUCAACUGAUACUGCGCGGCUAGAGUGCGGAAGGGGCAACUGGAAUUCUCGGUGUAGCGGUGAAAUGCGUAGAUAUCGAGAGGAACACCUGCGGCGAAGGCGGGUUGCUGGGCCGACACUGACGCUGAUGCGCGAAAGCCAGGGGAGCGAACGGGAUUAGAUACCCUAGUAGUCC